rnacentral:lncRNA from 1 species
CUAUAGUACCCUUUGGCGGCUCCAAUGGUGCGAUAGUGGAAAUGGGGGAAAGCUCAUCCUCAGGGAUAGGUUGGAAACUCGAACAUAGUCAUCUCCCUCCUGGCACCAUAUUUGUAAUGGUUAAACCAUAUAUACAACUAACUUGACAUAUAAAUAAAUAUAAUAAUGAAUAAUAAUAGUAAAAAAUAUAUAAAUACUAAUAAAUAGAAUUAUAUUG